ACUGGGCUUCUUCCUCUCCAGCACUUGGGGUGCCCUGUACAUGUGAAACACUCAACUGACUGACCACGUGAUCCCAGGAGAGCAGUGAGGAUGCUCCUGAUACAGAAGAGCGGAAAAUCCCUUUGGAGCAGAACCAAGGCUUUCCUGUGCCUCACUGAUCCUCUCUGUUCCUGCCAGUCUAACUGACCUGCAAAGCCUUUGCACUAGAGCUCCUCCUGCCAAACCUAUUCCAUGUGUGAGAAACUCUAUUUUCCUAUGGUAUCCUAUACCCUGAUGACCCUUCCCACAUUCUACCUUGUAUUACGAUAAACUUGUAUACAUGUUUUUGUCCUAAUCAGCCUGUAAGCACCUUGACUGCUCUGUCUUCAUGGUUUAAAGAAUAUCUUACAUGUGCACAACCACUUCAUCUGUUGCCUCACUUGACCCUCACAAUGGAGCUGUGAGGGAGGUACUUUCUGCUGGAGACAGACAUGGAGCAGGGAACUGAUUUGCUGUCUCUCAGCAAUAAAGGUUUACUGCAUGAAUAAGGAUGACAAAUGAGAAUUCUGGACUGUCCCCCCCGGCUCCUGAAUAAUCCCAGGCAUUCAAGAAUACUUCUCUUCUGCUAUUACAAUGAAUUACAUGUGGAGCUAUGAGGACUUCGGGCUUGAACAGUUGCCGUAGAGCUCUCCGUCUUGCUGGAAGGGCUUCUUCCAGGCCUUGGUCAGGAGGCUCCCUGGGUGCUACAUACAGGAUUUUUUUUGAGGAUAUGGAGAUGCGCAGGACACGAUCCCAGCAAUCCAGGUGCUUACAGGCUGAUUGUACAGCCAUGCACACAGAGUGCCACGAUGCAAAAUAGGAUGUGGUAAGGGUCAUGCAGUUCAGAGGAGAAAGCAAGUGUGGCUGAUGAACAUCACGGAGCAGUGACCUUCAUGGACAGACAGAAUUUGAGCUGGCCCUUUAACCAAUGAGGAGGAUUCAAACAGAGUUUGUAUUAUCCUGAAAAGAAAUUCCACUAAAGAUGAAUAGCAGAGAACUGUGUUCAGAAUACAAGUUCCACAAAGGUAGAGAUCUUGUCCCUCUGGCUACCUGUUGACUCUCCUGUGCCUAAUACAGUGCCUGAUUCAUACUACUCAAUAAAUACUUAUGGAAUGAAUGAAA
rnacentral:lncRNA from 1 species